rnacentral:rRNA from 1 species
UGAGUAACCUGCCCUUCACUCUGGGAUAACUCCGGGAAACCGGGGCUAAUACUGGAUAUGACUCGAACAGGCAUCUGUUUCGGGUGGAAAGAUUUAUUGGUGGAGGAUGGACUCGCGGCCUAUCAGCUUAUUGGUGAGGUAAUGGCUCACCAAGGCGACGACGGGUAGCCGGCCUGAGAGGGCGACCGGCCACACUGGGACUGAGACACGGCCCAGACUCCUACGGGAGGCA